GACGAACGCUGGCGGCGUGCCUAAUACAUGCAAGUCGAACGCAGUGGGGACGGGUGAGUAACACGUGGGUAACCUCCCAUCAGAGGGGAUAACACUUGGAAACAGGUGCUAAACCGAUACUGAUGGAUGGACCCGCGGUGGAUUAGCUAGUUGGUGAGGUAACGGCUAACCAAGGCCACGAUGCAUAGCUGACCUGAGAGGAUGAUCGGCCACACUGGAACUGAGACACGGUCCAGACUCCUACGGGAGGCAGCAGUGGGGAAUAUUCGGCAAUGGACGAAAGUCUGACCGAGCAACGCCGCGUGAGUGAAGAAGGUUUUCGGAUCGUAAAACUCUGUUGUUGGGGAAGCGGUAUCUAAACAGAAAGCACCGGCUAACUACGUGCCAGCAGCCGCGGUAAUUC
rnacentral:rRNA from 1 species